rnacentral:rRNA from 1 species
UCCUACGGGGCGCAGCAGUCGGGAAUAUUGCGCAAUGGAGGAAACUCUGACGCAGUGACGCCGCGUAUAGGAAGAAGUAUUUCGGUAUGUAAAGCUCUAUCAGCAGGGAAGAAAAUGACGGUACCUGACUAAGAAGCCCCGGCUAACUACGUGCCAGCAGCCGCGGUAAUACGUAGGGGGCAAGCGUUAUCCGGAUUUACUGGGUGUAAAGGGAGCGUAGACGGCGCGGCAAGUCUGAAGUGAAAGGCAGGGGCUUAACCCCUGAACUGCUUUGGAAACUGCCAUGCUAGAGUGCUGGAGAGGGA